rnacentral:misc_RNA from 1 species
AAAAAAAAAAAAAAAAAUUUUUUAGCCUAAUUAAUUAAUGAACAAUUAAUAAUAUUUCAUCUCUUUCUAAUCCCAAAUUUUUCUUUGGUCUCAUUUGCUUACAAGUUACAGGCUAAAGAAACUUCAAGACAAAAACAAAGGAAAGGAAAUCAUUUUUUUUUUUUUUUUUUUGUGGAAGACGUCUCUUCUUCUUCUUCUAAAAAUCUAAGGAACAGAACAGAAGUGAGAUUGGGCUGAUCUUGAAAGAAUUAAUGGUUAUGUUUCUAGAAAUCCAGUCAACCUAAGAAUUGAAUUCCUAACUUGGCUCAAAUCCCUUCCUUUUAAUGUCCUUCCAUUUCCAGUGCAAACAGAGAAUGCCAUUUUCCCUUGAAUUCUCCUCCCAAUUAUAACAUGCGGCGGAAUCAAUUCCUCUCUAUCAAAUUCCUCUUCAAAAUCAUCACCAGCCUCCGAAAACUGCAACACAUUGCUGCAAGGGAUAUUCACAGGCACGGAAGAACAAGUUGUUGUCGAUUUCUUCUGCUUCUUUAUGUUGCCACUCCGAUUACUAUUAUUAUUAUUUUCACGAUCCAUUUCCUUGAAGCCGAUGUGGUGCUGGUGGUGGUCGGAGAAAAUGAUAUCGGAUUCCUGAAGCUCUUCGGCGGCCAUGUAAUAA